UAAGGUAAUCCCUUUCCCUCUUUUCCUCCAUCUCUUCUCUGUCAAAAUCAAACAAAAACAACCAAAAAGAAAGUUGUUUUGUUUUUACCUUCAGAGGCUCCUUGGGUUUUGGCUAGGAAGCACUGCAAUUUCUUCCAGGCAAAAUUGAAUCACAGGUCAAAACUCCUAUACUCUUCUUGCUAGGUCCCAAGGACCAACGUGUACCAAUAUGUACAGUCUUGAAAGUAAGAUUUAAUAUAAUCUUCCUGUGUGCUUUUUUAUUAUAUAGAAAGGAUGGUUUUGACAUGUGUGCUUACAUGUCCAAAAAAAUUUGUAUUAAAGGUAUUUUGGUCAUCUGACACAGAAGAAAAGUUGAGAUAUAUUUAUAAGUUUAUUAUUUACACAAAAUUCAUAUACCAUAUUUACACAAAGAUCUUUACUCCAUCACCAUCACUCCUCCUCCGUCACAAAGAAAAAAAGGAAGAGAAGAGGAAAUCUAGAGAGAGAAAGAAAAUAAGAUGAAGAUGGGACAAAGAAAUUUGAAGAGAGAAAGAAGAAAAGAAGAAAGAUUUAAAAGAUAAAGAA